UAAAAUAAAUUAUCUCAUAAUAUAUAUCUGAGCAGUCUUCCUGCACCUCACCUCUUUCUUCCUGCACCUCCAAAAUUAUGUAUAUGUCCUUCAUUUAAUAUAAUAAAAUAAUUUUUCAUAUGCAGAAAAUGAAAAAAAAAUGGAAAACCCUAAAAACGCAUCACCGCAGCUCGCAACGAACCACAACUCAGGCACCCCCUCUGUCGCAGUUCGCAACGAAACGCAACUCAGGCACCCCCCUCUGUCGCAGUUCGCAACGAACCGCAACUCAGGCACCCCACUUCUUUUGUCGCAGCUCGCAACGAAUCGCAACUCAGGUACCCCCUUCCUCUGUCGCAGCUCGUGUUAUCGGCUAACAACUGUCGCGUCUCCCAACUGCGGCUACCCAUAGUCGCAUCUACCAAGUGCGGUUACGCACAACCGCACCUCCCAGGUGCGACACCCCUCAAUCGCGCCUCUCAGGUGCGGCACCUCUCAAUCGCGCCUCCCAGGUGCGGUUCUGCGCGAUCAGCGCACCUCCCUGCCUCAGACUGCCUCAAUCUGAAUCCAGAUCAAAUACCCGAAUAAUCCCCAAUUCAAUCCUAGCAGUAACAACAUCAAGCAUUCUAUAUGUUCUAUAAGUAACAACUGCGCGACCUCUCACAGCAUAUAAACAACAUAAUCAAAUAACCUAACCUAAUGUAACGCAGCUUCAAGAAAAACAACAUUUAACGCAACUAACCUGACGCCUGCUAGAACAAGUGCUAGAUCUCACCACCACAACACCAAAUAGCCACAACAACGAAAAGGAGCCAGUGAAAAUGAUGACAGACAGAAGAGGAAGCACAAUACCUGGUGGCGGUAAAAUGAGUGUUCCUGGGCAAAGUAAAAGAAAGAAGAAGGGGGUGUAGAGGUUUUAAGAUGUGAAAUGCGGUGGGUGGGAAAGGAGCAUACAGACUUUGCUUUUUCAAUGCAGGUCAGUUUUUUCAGUGUUUUUUGAAAAUCAAAAUAUUCUUUAUGGAGAUGAAAUUGGAAAUAUAAAAAGAAUGGAAGGUGCAGGACGAAGUGGGUGAGGUGUAGGGAGAACAUAUAAUUAAUAUAAAUAUUUGUACUAAUUAAACUAUGUAAAGGUAAAUCUUUUAUUUUCUCUUACCAAAAUUAAUAAACACAGGUAUUCGAAGACUAAAAUAAAGAAUUUCUUAAUUCCUUCCUUCUCCUUGGAAGCAGACUAAGCGGAAAAAGAAGACAUCAUCCUGCUACAACCACCAAUGCUUCGUGACAUGUUUAUUUAAACUCGUUUUAUAAUUGUACCAAAACAGAUAUCUCUACAUAAUAUAUUAAUCUUAUAAAAUAAAUUCCUUAAAACUCGAAACAAAC
rnacentral:lncRNA from 1 species